rnacentral:rRNA from 1 species
AUUGAACGCUGGCGGCAUGCCUUACACAUGCAAGUCGAACGGUAACAGGUCUUCGGAUGCUGACGAGUGGCGAACGGGUGAGUAAUACAUCGGAACGUGCCCGAUCGUGGGGGAUAACGGAGCGAAAGCUUUGCUAAUACCGCAUACGAUCUACGGAUGAAAGCAGGGGACCGCAAGGCCCUGCGCGGACGGAGCGGCCGAUGGCAGAUUAGGUAGUUGGUGGGAUAAAAGCUUACCAAGCCGACGAUCUGUAGCUGGUCUGAGAGGACGACCAGCCACACUGGGACUGAGACACGGCCCAGACUCCUACGGGAGGCAGCAGUGGGGAAUUUUGGACAAUGGGCGAAAGCCUGAUCCAGCCAUGCCGCGUGCAGGAUGAAGGCCUUCGGGUUGUAAACUGCUUUUGUACGGAACGAAAAGACUCUUUCUAAUAAAGAGGGUCCAUGACGGUACCGUAAGAAUAAGCACCGGCUAACUACGUG